rnacentral:rRNA from 1 species
GACGAACCGUGCGAACGUUGUUCGGAAUCACUGGGCUUAAAGGGUGCGUAGGCGGGCGAUCAAGUCAGAGGUGAAAUCCUCCAGCUUAACUGGAGAACUGCCUUUGAUACUGGUCAUCUUGAGUAAGGUAGGGGCGUGCGGAACUGAUGGUGGAGCGGUGAAAUGUGUUGAUAUCAUCAGGAACUCCGGUGGCGAAAGCGGCGCGCUGGACCUUUACUGACGCUGAGGCACGAAAGCUAGGGGAGCGAACGGG